rnacentral:lncRNA from 1 species
AUCUAUCUAUGUUUUCAUUCUGUAGUUAUUAGAUUGGAUUAGAGAUGCAAUCGGUGUUUUAUUUUUUACGUAUAUUAUAUAAAUUAUUUUCAGUUUUCAUGACUGGCCGCCUAACUAGUUUCUUUAGGGUAUAAUAUCCCGGGCGAAUGGUAUUAAAAUACAAGUUAUUGCUCAAUCGGGGUAUUGAACCUUGAACCUUUAAGUCAUGAUAUGCUAUUUCUCAAUUAAUGUGACUAGAAUUAAUAAAUAAACCAGUCUAAAAAAAUACCGAAAAGUGUUUCGAGGAAUGUAGAUAUUGCAUAAGAUUUAAUGUCAUUUGUGCGUCCUACAAGGAUUGUUGCCAAAACAAAUAUUUCACUGUGUAAUAUUUAUAGCCAUUGUUCGCAGUUCUCUCCGUGCGGAAGUUCCCAUCCCGACGAAUUGUGUAACCAAAUGGAGUAAAAAGGCCAAAUGCUAGUACAGAAUACGUGUUGAGAGCUUUUUAUCCCUGAUUUAUAUAUUACUUUAGAUUAAGAUAUCCAGUGAAGAGCGUUUGUGCGCUUCCUUCGAUAUUGCGAAAUGUUUUUGUUUUAUUCGUGCUUCGCAUUUAGAUGUUGUUAAAUCGAUUGCCAGUUGUGAUAAUAUUUUUAAUCUCUAUGUUAUGUUUUUUUAUUCAUGCAUGGCAUUGUGACCUUAAUGUACCUGAUGUUAAGCGGACUGGACAUAGUGAGGGUCAAUGAGGAUUGCCUCGCAACACAACUAUGCUAGCUUGUUUGAAACCUGAUAAACACAGUUUUGCUGGUGGCAGGAUAUUUGUGCUCGCCCGGAUAUUUGUGGAAGUUUUAUUACCGGCCAUAGUGGCCUAAGUGUCGCGUUUCGGGAUCAGCCUGUAUAUAUCCGGUUUCAAUUAUGCCGGCAUAAUUGUGUGUAAUCAAAUCCCAGUAACAUUUAACAAUGAGUUGUAUUUUACAACGCAGCGUAAGAACGUCUAUAAAUAUUCAUAGCCGAGACACUGUUUGGGCCAGUGCCCUAUCUUUUGACAGUCACUAGACUUCGCAGUCACUGCGACGCGGCGUUAGGUUUCCUGACCGCAUUAUUUUUAUUUAUUUAUUCAUACCACGUGUAAUAAUAAAUUUAUUGCAUAAUGUUGGUUAAAUCUUCUGUAAAUAUUGGGUGGGUAUUAUAUCAGGCUAAAAAAAUUGCUGAAAGGUGUUCUAGGGUAACAGCGCCGUAAUAGACUAGUGAUAGAUAGUGACUUUAUUAUAGGGACGAUGGACAUUAAUGAAACAUUGUAAAUGAAAAUAAUCUGUAUUUUUAGUGUUGUUGUAAUAUUUUUUUUUAUUUUACGCCCAUAAAAUUUUACGUAUUUUGAAUUGUAUGCGUGUUUUUAUAUAUAAAAACAUGGUUAUACAAAUGAUAGUAAUAGGACCAUUUCUCGAACAUGCUUUAAAAAAAAUAAAAAAACUAAUCACGGAAAUCGGAUUACAAUUCUUCGAUUUAGCGGUGUAAAUACAUAAAACAAAUCGAGAAUCUCAUCUUUUCUUUAGAAGUCGUUAAAAAUACUCUACCAUCCAAUUGAAGAAUUGGUGGUUUGAAAUUCUUUUCUUAGCGUGAUUUGAAUAGUUGGCGUUUCGUAACCUUACAACUGGCGAACGGAGCCAAUAAUCUGAAGGCAUGCGUCCCAUUCGGCGGGGUAACAAUGUUAUUCCGGGUAAAUUAAAAGUCACGGAGUUUGAAACGAUAGGGCGCGGGUGUAAGUACGAUAUAGUGGGUAAUGAAAUGUAGGUACGAGUAUGUGUGCACAUGGUUUUGUCUAAAGAUAGAUAUAAUUAAUUCCGUUUUGGUAUGUGUGAUGUAUUGAUAUUAAAGAUCAGCACAGUCCAACGGUAACGCAACACUUCCGAGCCGUUGGCGGCGCAGGGCGGACGUCUCCGGUGUGCUGUGCUGUACUUACUGUUUACGUUAUUGUUUUAUUUCACUACCAAAGAACACAUAAAGUGAGGACACCACAUUGGCGACGAGUAAACGCGCAAUCGUCUCAACAUGUCACACUUACAAAUAACAACAAUCGAACCAUUUAACUGCGAGGGUGAUCCAGUCUCUAUAGGAUCCCGUUGGGAAAAAUGGAAACGCGCUUUAGAAAUAUAUUUUAUAGCAACCAAUGUCAGUGAUCAUAAAACAAAGCGUGCGAUUCUCCUUCAUUCGGGAGGAAUGACAUUACAAGAUAUUCAUUUUAAUAUACCCGGAGCUCACGUGACUGAUCCCGACGCGACUGAUGUAUAUGAAAUUGCGAUAAAAAAUUAGAUGAAUAUUUCUCCCCAAAACAGAGCUAUUUAUUUGAAAGGCAUGUAUUUCGUUUGAUGAAGCAAGAGGCUGACGAAAAGUUUGAUAAAUUUUAAUCCGUCUUAGACAACAAAGCACCAAAUGUAAUUUUGCAAAGGAAGACGAAAGUCUCAUCGACCAAAUUACAGAAAAGUGUAGCUCAAAUAAAUUAAGGAAAAAUAUUUUGACGCUUGGUGACACGGCAACGAUCGAAAAGAUAAUUGUCGAAGCUAAUUCUUUAGAAACUGUCGAAAGACAACUAACGGAGUUCCACGAUAGACAGAGCAAUACUUCAAUCAGCCUUAAUAAAAUCGACACAAAAACUACAAAACAAUACACAAAAAGAGGUUAAUACCUGCUGCCGGUGUGGUAGUAAAAAUCACAAAAGUGAUAGUAGUACCUGCCCUGCAAGCAAUGCAAAUUGCAUCAAAUGUGGCUACAGAGGCCAUUUCCAAAACCAGUGUAGAACAAGGGCCAAUAAAAGAAAGAGUUCCCACCUCUCGUCAAAUGACAAUAAUAAAACUAAGCAGCAAAAAACGAAAGCCACAAAAAAUACAACUGUGGACUAUAUUUUUCACAUCGAUGGCGAUGACACAAUUGACUGCCAGGUAGGUGGAGUUAACAUCAAAAUGCUUAUUGAUUCUGGUAGCAAAUCCAAUAUCAUUAAUGAUAAAACUUGGGACCAUAUGAAACAAUCAAAUGUUGUAGUCUUCAACCAACAAAAAACUUCAGACAAAAUAUUUCGAGCUUACAGUGCCAAAUAUCCGUUAAAAGUUUUGGGUUUGUUUGAUGCACAGAUAAAAGUUGGUCCCAAAUCAUUAAAAUCAACAUUUUAUGUAAUUGAAAA